rnacentral:lncRNA from 1 species
UGACAUUGUCUUCCAUUCAGAAACUUCUCCAGUAAGGCUUGUUGCAUGCCCUUCACUGCAGUGUUAGAAUUUAAUUAUGUAAUUGCUACACUUUUCUUGUCAAGUUAAUUGCUGGGUUUAGGCUCUGUUACCCACCCCUAUUUUUUAUUGCUUUGUGUAUUUUUUCUUACCUAGUUGAUAGUUUCCUUCAUUUUAGUGGUUUUCUAGGUUUUAAAUCCCCAAAAUUUAUUUUUUCAACUACAUGGUUUUUAGGUUAUUGUUUUAGAAUCUCCAAAAUAACAUUGUGAAUCGGUAGAUCGCUGUCUUAUUCCUGGAUUGUACAUCUCCUCAGUAUUUUUACCAUCUAAUAUUUUUGCUGUUAGUCUGUAAGUGGUCUUUAUAUUUUAGGUAUUUUUCUCUUACUGUUGAGAAAGGCUGUGGAAUUUUAUUUACUCUUUCAGCUUUUGAUAACUUUUAAAAAUAUUACAUUAAUUUGAGGUUAAUGAAUUCUUGCUUACGAUAUACAGAUUUAAUCUGCUAGUAUUUCAUUUAGGAAGUUUUGCGUUUUGUGGGUAAUUGGCUCAGUUUUUGUAACCAUUUUCUAAUUUUUAUCUCAUCUACCAGCUUUAAUGUGGAUUAAAGAGGUUUUCAUAUUCAAGUGUUAUAAUUUGAAAUCUUUAUUCAUUUGUUGAAAACUAGCUAAAUCAAUAUGUAAAGUCACCUGGCCUGUGCUUAUAGUGGUAGCUUUCUAUGGUUUGGUGUUUUUUAAUGAAUUCCCCUCCUGUAUCACCACCACUUUAAAAGAAAAUCAUCCAUUCUAGAUUUUAAUUAUAGCUGUAGAGGUAUAGGAUAUUAGUUAACCUCUUCUGUAUUAUAGUUAUAUCUUCUUAGUUCUGAUGUUGAAUACUUGUGUUUUCUAAUCAUGCUUGCCUAGAGGGUAUUAUUGGUGUUUUGAAAGAAUCAGUUUUUGGUGUUAUCAUUUCUACCACCUCUGGUAGUUUUAGCUACCAAAUGUUAAUUCUCACCGUCUGCUUUUCUCAGUUAUUUUCUAGUUAAAUACUCAAUGUAUUUUUAGUAAUAAAAGCCUUUGUAUAUACA